rnacentral:rRNA from 1 species
CCUACGGGCGGCUGCAGUGGGGAAUAUUGCACAAUGGGCGCAAGCCUGAUGCAGCCAUGCCGCGUGUGUGAAGAAGGCCUUCGGGUUGUAAAGCACUUUCAGCGGGGAGGAAGGCGUUAAGGUUAAUAACCUUGUCGAUUGACGUUACCCGCAGAAGAAGCACCGGCUAACUCCGUGCCAGCGGCCGCGGUAAUACGGAGGGUGCAAGCGUUAAUCGGAAUUACUGGGCGUAAAGCGCACGCAGGCGGUCUGUCAAGUCGGAUGUGAAAUCCCCGGGCUCAACCUGGGAACUGCAUUCGAAACUGGCAGGCUAGAGUCUUGUAGAGGGGGGUAGAAUUCCAGGUGUAGCGGUGAAAUGCGUAGAGAUCUGGAGGAAUACCGGUGGCGAAGGCGGCCCCCUGGACAAAGACUGACGCUCAGGUGCGAAAGCGUGGGGAGCAAACAGGAUUAGAUACCCCUGUAGUC